rnacentral:rRNA from 1 species
GACGAACGCUGGCGGCGUGCUUAACACAUGCAAGUCGAACGGAAAGGCCCUGCUUGUGCUGUGGGCCCGUGUCGCAAACGGGUGUAUCACACGUGUAUCACCCGCUCUUGACUUUGGUAUAACUUGAGGAAACUGGCGAAAAUACCGGAUAAGAGCUCCUGCUGCGUGCUGGGGGUGGGAAAGUUUCUGCGGUUGGGGAUGGACUCGCGGCUUAUCAGCUUGUUGGUGGGGUAAUGGCUUACCAAGGCUAUGACGGGUAGCCGGCCUGAGAGGGUGACCGGCCACACUGGGACUGAGACACGGCCCAGACUCCUACGGGAGGCAGCAGUGGGGAAUAUUGCACAAUGGGCGCAAGCCUGAUGCAGCAACGCCGCGUGAGGGAUGACGGCCUUCGGGUUGUAAACCUCUUUUAGUAGGGAAGAAGCGAAAGUGACGGUACCUGCAGAAAAAGCACCGGCUAACUACGUG